rnacentral:rRNA from 1 species
GAUCAUGGCUCAGGAUGAACGCUAGCGGCAGGCCUAACACAUGCAAGUCGAGGGGGUAGAGUUCUUCGGGACUUGAGACCGGCGCACGGGUGCGUAACGCGUAUGCAAUCUACCUUAUACAGGGGAAUAGCCCAGAGAAAUUUGGAUUAAUGCCCCAUAGUGUUAUCGAAUCGCAUGGUUUGAUAACUAAAGUUCCAACGGUAUAAGAUGAGCAUGCGUCCCAUUAGUUAGUUGGUAAGGUAACGGCUUACCAAGACAAUGAUGGGUAGGGGUCCUGAGAGGGAGAUCCCCCACACUGGUACUGAGACACGGACCAGACUCCUACGGGAGGCAGCAGUGAGGAAUAUUGGUCAAUGGGCGCAAGCCUGAACCAGCCAUGCCGCGUGCAGGAAGACGGUCCUAUGGAUUGUAAACUGCUUUAUACAGGAAGAAACCCUCCCACGUGUGGGAGCUUGACGGUACUGUAGGAAUAAGGAUCGGCUAGCUCCGUG